CCUACGGGGGGCAGCAGUGGGGAAUAUUGCACAAUGGGGGAAACCCUGAUGCAGCAACGCCGCGUGGGUGAAGGAGCGUUUCGGCGCGUAAAGCCCUGUCGGCGGGGAAGAAGAAAGACGGUACCCGACCAAGAAGCCCCGGCUAACUACGUGCCAGCAGCCGCGGUAAUACGUAGGGGGCAAGCGUUAUCCGGAUUUACUGGGUGUAAAGGGAGCGCAGGCGGCGCGGUAAGUCUGAUGUGAAAGCCCGGGGCUCAACCCCGGGACUGCAUUGGAAACUGUCGUGCUGGAGUGUCGGAGGGGCG
rnacentral:rRNA from 1 species